rnacentral:rRNA from 1 species
UUUACACGUCUGGUAAUUGCAAUGAGUACAAUUUAAAUCCCUUAACGAGGAACAAUUGGAGGGCAAGUCUGGUGCCAGCAGCCGCGGUAAUUCCAGCUCCAAUAGCGUAUAUUAAAGUUGCUGCAGUUAAAAAGCUCGUAGUUGGAUUUCUGGCUCGUCGUCCCUGGCCCGCCGCGUUAAGCGUGUGAGUGCCGGCGGCCGGCUGCCAUCCGUGCGGUGGACCGCGUCUUCCUUCACUGGUCGGCGANGGGACCCGCACCUAUUACUUUGAAAAAAUUAGAGUGUUUAAAGCAGGCAAUUGCCUUGAAUACAUUAGCAUGGAAUAAUAAUCUAGGACUUCGGUUCUAUUUUGUUGGUUUCUAGGACUGAAGUAAUGAUUGAUAGGGAUAGUUGGGGGUGCUAGUAUUCAGUGGCCAGAGGUGAAAUUCUUGGAUUCCCUGAANACUAACUUAUGCGAAAGCAUUCACCAAGGAUGUCUUCUUUAAUCAAGAACGAAAGUUGGGGGAUCGAAGACGAUCAGAUACCGUCGUAGUCUCAACCAUAAACUAUACCGACUCAGGAUGGGCGCACGUUGUUUUUCGACUGCAUCCGCACUGUAUGAGAAAUCANAGUCUUUGGGUUCCGGGGGGAGUAUGGUCGCAAGGCUGAAACUUAAA